rnacentral:rRNA from 1 species
UUGAGUUGGGAUAAAAUGAGGCUACCAAAGAAUAAAAGAGGUGGAUUCAAAGACAUGCGAGCUUUCAGCCAAGCUUUAUUGUCUAAGGAAGCAUGGAGAUUAAUUGAUGCUCCUGCAAGUUUAUCUGCUCGUUUGUUAAAGGCGAAAUAUUAUCCAAACGGCAGUAUUCUUGAUACCGUGUUUACAUGACACUCUUCGGCUGUUUGGGAGGGCAUAGUGCAUGGGUUGGAACUUGUCAAAAAAGGUAUAAUUUGCCGAAUUGGUGAUGGGGCCUCGGUCAAGACAUGGAGGGACCCCUGGAUCCCUCGACGAUUUGAUUUUCGUCCCAUUACUCCUAGAGGAACUGCGUUUGAACCAUGUUUUUGAAUUUUUUUGAAUGAAAGUGGUGCAUGGAUCAUUGAUUUCCUUGAGGAACAUUUCUGGCCAAUGGACCUUGUCGAAAUUCUCAAAAUUCGAAUUUCGCCUAGGAACAUAAGCGAUUUCAUUGGAUGGUUUUCUGAAUCACAUGACAUGUUUACGGUCAAAUCAGCCUAUCGUUUGGCAACAAAAUCACAUGAUGUACUGCAUGCUAAUGGUGCAAGUAGCACAAGUCCGGAUGGUGUGCGUACAAUCUGGACCGGGAUGCUCUUGAUCUUCUCAUAUCUAAAGUUCGGGCCUCAGCGUCGUCACUCUCUGGGCAGGAUCCUGGUGUCUAAUCCUCCGCGUUUUGGAGCUCGUUCGCUUAGCUGCUGGGUUUGUCUUUCGUAUUUUCUCCGAACUACGUGUCGUGUCUGGCAGGGUGCCAUGUCUUUACCGUACUUUCCAGUUCGUCUAUGCGUACCCGUGGUCGGGUGA